GAUAAAAUGGCUGAAAUUUAGGCAUUAAACUGUAAAUUUAAUUAUGAGAUAUAAUCUCUUUUAUCA
rnacentral:tRNA from 1 species